GUCCAAGGUGAUUCUCUAUUCAAGGGCCUGACUAGUGCCCUUUUCAGAAACGUAGCAAAGGAAACCUGGCAUGCCUGAGGUCUCUGGGGAACAAGGGAUGCUUUUUGCCUUUGCCUGCCUUUGGCUGCCUACAUGU